AUAGCCCCUUCGUACGAAAGGAGUUGGGUAUAUUGACCUAUGGUUUACCUGUUGUUUAUGUUAUAUAUUAUUAUACAUAAUAUAUCAUUUACUUAUACUUAAGUAAAUUGUUCACAUAGGCAUGGCAGGAAGGCUACGUCAGUUAAAGAUAAGUGCUGAAAGCAUUUAAGCGCGAAGCUUA
rnacentral:ncRNA from 2 species